GACGAACGCUCUCGGCGUGCUUAACACAUGCAAGUCGAACGGAAAGGCCCUGCUUUUGUGGGGUGCUCGAGUGGCGAACGGGUGAGUAACACGUGAGUAACCUGCCCUUGACUUUGGGAUAACUUCAGGAAACUGGGGCUAAUACCGGAUAGGAGCUCCUGCUGCAUGGUGGGGGUUGGAAAGUUUCGGCGGUUGGGGAUGGACUCGCGGCUUAUCAGCUUGUUGGUGGGGUAGUGGCUUACCAAGGCUUUGACGGGUAGCCGGCCUGAGAGGGUGACCGGCCACAUUGGGACUGAGAUACGGCCCAGACUCCUACGGGAGGCAGCAGUGGGGAAUAUUGCACAAUGGGCGGAAGCCUGAUGCAGCAACGCCGCGUGCGGGAUGACGGCCUUCGGGUUGUAAACCGCUUUCGCCUGUGACGAAGCGUGAGUGACGGUAAUGGGUAAAGAAGCACCGGCUAACUACGUGCCAGCAGCCGCGGUGAUACGUAGGGUGCGAGCGUUGUCCGGAUUUAUUGGGCGUAAAGGGCUCGUAGGUGGUUGAUCGCGUCGGAAGUGUAAUCUUGGGGCUUAACCCUGAGCGUGCUUUCGAUACGGGUUGACUUGAGGAAGGUAGGGGAGAAUGGAAUUCCUGGUGGAGCGGUGGAAUGCGCAGAUAUCAGGAGGAACACCAGUGGCGAAGGCGGUUCUCUGGGCCUUUCCUGACGCUGAGGAGCGAAAGCGUGGGGAGCGAACAGGCUUAGAUACCCUGGUAGUCCACGCUGUAAACGGUGGGUACUAGGUGUGGGGUCCAUUCCACGGGUUCCGUGCCGUAGCUAACGCUUUAAGUACCCCGCCUGGGGAGUACGGCCGCAAGGCUAAAACUCAAAGGAAUUGACGGGGCCCCGCACAAGCGGCGGAGCAUGCGGAUUAAUUCGAUGCAACGCGUAGAACCUUACCUGGGUUUGACAUGGAUCGGGAGUGCUCAGAGAUGGGUGUGCCUCUUUUGGGGUCGGUUCACAGGUGGUGCAUGCCUGUCGUCAGCUCGUGUCGUGAGAUGUUGGGUUAAGUCCCGCAACGAGCGCAACCCUUGUUCACUGUUGCCAGCACGUUAUGGUGGGGACUCAGUGGAGACCGCCGGGGUCAACUCGGAGGAAGGUGGGGACGACGUCAAGUCAUCAUGCCCCUUAUGUCCAGGGCUUCACGCAUGCUACAAUGGCUGGUACAGAGAGUGGCGAGCCUGUGAGGGUGAGCGAAUCUCGGAAAGCCGGUCUCAGUUCGGAUUGGGGUCUGCAACUCGACCUCAUGAAGUCGGAGUCGCUAGUAAUCGCAGAUCAGCAACGCUGCGGUGAAUACGUUCCCGGG
rnacentral:rRNA from 1 species